rnacentral:rRNA from 1 species
UACAGAGGUCUCAAGCGUUGUUCGGAUUCAUUGGGCGUAAAGCGCGCGCAGGCGGUCUCUUAAGUCUGAUGUGAAAUCCCGUGGCUUAACCACGGGCGGUCAUUGGAAACUGGGGGACUUGAGUGCAGAAGAGAAGAGCGGAAUUCCACGUGUAGCGGUGAAAUGCGUAGAGAUGUGGAGGAACACCAGUGGCGAAGGCGGCUCUUUGGUCUGUAACUGACGCUGAGGCGCGAAAGCGUGGGGAGCGAACAGG